rnacentral:rRNA from 1 species
AGAGUUUGAUCCUGGCUCAGGAUGAACGCUAGCGGCAGGCCUAAUACAUGCAAGUCGUACGGUAACAUGAGUAGCAAUACUUGAUGACGAGUGGCGCACGGGUGCGUAACACGUAUGUAAUCUUCCCAAAACUGGGGAAUAGCCCACCGAAAGGUGGAUUAAUACCCCAUAACACAAUAGAGUGGCAUCACUCAGUUGUUAAAUCUCCGGAGGUUUUGGAUGAACAUGCGUUCGAUUAGCUAGUUGGCGGGGUAAAAGCCCACCAAGGCUACGAUCGAUAGGGGUACUGAGAGGUUACACCCCCACACUGGAACUGAGACACGGUCCAGACUCCUACGGGAGGCAGCAGUAAGGAAUAUUGGACAAUGGAGGCAACUCUGAUCCAGCCAUGCCGCGUGAAGGAUGACGGUCCUAUGGAUUGUAAACUUCUUUUGAACGGGAAAAAACGCUCUUACGUGUAAGAGCCUGAUUGUACCGUUAGAAUAAGGGUCGGCUAACUUCGUGCCAGCAGCCGCGGUAAGACGAAGGACCCAAGCGUUAUCCGGAUUCAUUGGGUUUAAAGGGUGCGUAGGUGGAAAGAUAAGUCAGUGGUGAAAUCUCCGGGCUCAACUCGGAAACUGCCAUUGAUACUGUUUUUCUUGAGUGCAUAUGAUGUGGGCGGAAUAUGACAUGUAGUGGUGAAAUACUUAGAUAUGUCAUAGAACACCGAUUGCGAAGGCAGCUCACAAAACUGCAACUGGCACUGAGGCACGAAAGCGUGGGGAUCAAACAGGAUUAGAUACCCUGGUAGUCCAUGCCUUAAACUAUGAUAACUCGAUGUUUGCGAUACACUGCCAGCGUCCAAGCGAAAGCGUUAAGUUAUCCACCUGGGGAGUACGGUCGCAAGACUGAAACUCAAAGGAAUUGACGGGGGCCCGCACAAGCGGAGGAGCAUGUGGUUUAAUUCGAUGGUACGCGAGGAACCUUACCUGGGCUUGAAAGUUAGUGAUCGUCUGUGAAAGCAGAUUUCCCGCAAGGGCACGAAACUAGGUGCUGCAUGGCUGUCGUCAGCUCGUGCCGUGAGGUGUUGGGUUAAGUCCCGCAACGAGCGCAACCCCUAUCUUUAGUUGCCAGCGAGUAAUGUCGGGGACUCUAGAGAAACUGCCCGCGCAAGCGGUGAGGAAGGUGGGGAUGACGUCAAGUCAUCACGGCCCUUACGUCCAGGGCUACACACGUGCUACAAUGGCAGAUACAAAGGGCAGCUACACAGUAAUGUGAUGCUAAUCUCUAAAAUCUGCCUCAGUUCGGAUAGAGGUCUGCAACUCGACCUCUUGAAGCUGGAUUCGCUAGUAAUCGGAUAUCAGCAAUGAUCCGGUGAAUACGUUCCCGGGCCUUGUACACACCGCCCGUCAAGCCAUGGAAGUUGAGAGUACCUAAAGUAGGUUCCCGUAAGGCGCCUCCUAGGGUAAAAUCAAUGACUGGAGCUAAGUCGUAACAAGGUA